CCUAACAGCUGCAGUUUCCCAACAAUGCUGCUCCUGAAAGUGUAUAUAAGAAAAGCUCCACGUUCAGAGCAACACCACAACAACCUCCCUGAUCAUCUGUGAGACAGUCUGCUGAAGCUAAGACCUGACGGUGUGAUCACUGAAACCAUGCUGAAGGUAGCACUUGUUCUUGGAUGCCUCCUGAGCCUCGCUCUGGCCAGUCCUAUGGAUGGAGGACACAAACGAUUUGCCCGCUCAAACGAUGUUUCUGAUUCUGGUUCCAACUCUAAUGAGGCUACCACUACAACUGCUACAACUACUGCUGCUGGUGCUACUACCACUUUGUCCCCAGCACAACUAACACAAUCCUCGAGGCUCUUCUUGCCCUCUUACAAGGAUAAUAACCUUCAGUUAUGGAGCACUUUUCAAAUUCCAAGUUCAUUAAAGUGCUCCACAAGACUAAAAGAAAUUAAACAGACAAAUCAAAAAAUUGUCACAUUGGAAAAAAAAACACACAAUUCGAUGGAUGAAAACCAGUGUUGGAAAAAGUAAAAAAAACUUUAGAGAGAAAUCAAAGACAGUUGAAAGGAAACUACAUCUCCCGUAAAAUCAGGAAAGUAUGUCUUCAGAAGUAAACAGCAAGAUCUUAAAAUGUGUCCUAAAACACACCUCCUGUUUCCUACUGCUGCUACAACUACUACAGCAGCAACGACUACAACAGCUGCUCCAUUCUAAUAUCUGAAAUGUAACCAGGAACCAAGAAGUGAAUGAAAACCAGUUUGAAGUGGAUUUUCAAUGUCAGCUCUAUUUCCUGUUGGUUUGAAAUGUUUUACUGAGAAUUUGUUCUGAUUUUCUGCUCUCAAGUUUAAAUCAUGUUUUUCACCUGACCACACUGCCAAAUAAAGUUCAUAAAUGUAAAAUA